AAUAUGAACAUGCUCUAUACACAUAAAUGCUAAUUACAGUCAAACCAGUGUCAGCUAAUUGAGUCACAUGAACCUCUGGUUAUACUUGUUGAGUACGACAUGUGCUCACUCUUGCUAUUUCCCACCCCUCCAGUGUACCAGAAAGAGUUGAUUAGAAGAGCGGUAGAGUCAUGAAAGACGUUCUCAGGAUAUAAGAAGUGCUAGGAAUAUGUUACCCCAGUCAACCGUCCC
rnacentral:lncRNA from 1 species